rnacentral:lncRNA from 1 species
UUCUUUCUUUUCUUUCUUUCUUUUUUAUUUUUUUAUCCAGCCUGUUAGCAGGGUUAUGAGAAGAAGCUCAGAAAGGAACCCUGCCAGGGGCCGCCACCACCAGCAUGAGGUGCCCAGUCAUCCAAACUGGUGCAUUUCAAGCAAUUGGCUUGUGGGACUUUGAGAGAUGCUGCUGCCCGUGACAUGUUGGAAUUAUCAUGAUCAACUACUCGGUUUGGAUUUCACCCAGUGGCCAAGAGCUUUGUGUGAUAGACAGCAAGGUUUGGAUUUUUAAAAAGAGUAAACCAGGUAAGGUUUGAGGGAGACAUCUGAUCAUUUAUCACUUGCUCUAAGGGCUUUCAUGUGCUGCCAAGAUGUAUUGAAUAAUGUAUAGCUUUUCUAUUUGUUCU